rnacentral:rRNA from 1 species
AAAUAGAUCCUGAAACCGUAUGCUUACAAAAAGUAGGAGCCUCGUAAGGGGUGACUGCGUACCUUUUGUAUAAUGGGUCAGCGACUUACAUUCAGUGGCAAGGUUAACCGAAUAGGGAAGCCGUAGAGAAAUCGAGUCCGAAUAGGGCGAAUUAGUCGCUGGGUGUAGACCCGAAACCAAGUGAUCUAUCCAUGGGCAGGAUGAAGGUGCCGUAACAGGUACUGGAGGUCCGGACCGACUAAUGUUGCAAAUUAGCGGAUGACCAGUGGAUAGGGGUGAAAGGCUAAACAAACUUGGAAAUAGCUGGUUCUCUCCGAAAACUAUUUAGGUAGUGCCUCAAGUAUUACCUGCGGGGGUAGAGCACUGUUUUGGCUAGGGGGUCAUGGCGACUUACCAAACCAAUGCAAACUCCGAAUACCGCAGAGUUCAGCUUGGGAGACAGAGCACCGGGUGCUAACGUCCGGACUCAAGAGGGAAACAACCCAGGCCGCCAGCUAAGGUCCCUAAAAUUGGCUAAGUGGGAAACGAAGUGGGAAGGCUAAAACAGUCAGGAUGUUGGCUUAGAAGCAGCCAUCAUUUAAAGAAAGCGUAAUAGCUCACUGAUCGAGUCGUCCUGCGCGGAAGAUGUAACGGGGCUAAGCCAGUUACCGAAGCUGCGGAUUUGCAAUUUAUUGCAAGUGGUAGGAGAGCGUUCUGUAAGCCUGUGAAGGUGCGUUGUAAAGCGUGCUGGAGGUAUCAGAAGUGCGAAUGCUGACAUGAGUAGCGUUAAAGGGGGUGAAAAGCCCCCUCGCCGUAAGCGCAAGGUUUUCUACGCAACGUUCAUCGGCGUAGAGUGAGUCGGCCCCUAAGGCGAGGCAGAGAUGCGUAGUUGAUGGGAAACAGGUAAAUAUUCCUGUACCGAUGUGUAGUGCGAUGUGGGGACGGAGAAGGUUAGCUCAGCAGACUGUUGGAUAUGUCUGUUCAAGCCUGUAGUCGUGCCUGGUAGGUAAAUCCGCCGGGCUUAGAUGAGGGGUGAUAACGAGGAUGCUUGCAUCCGAAGUGAGUGAUACCCUGCUUCCAGGAAAAGCCACUAAGCUUCAGCUACACACGACCGUACCGCAAACCGACACUGGUGCGCGAGAUGAGUAUUCUAAGGCGCUUGAGAGAACUCAGGAGAAGGAACUCGGCAAAUUGACACCGUAACUUCGGAAGAAGGUGUGCCUUUAGUAUGUGAACCUGUACAAGGGGAGCAGAAUGAGGCCUCAGAGAAUCGGUGGCUGCGACUGUUUAAUAAAAACACAGCGCUCUGCAAACACGAAAGUGGACGUAUAGGGUGUGACGCCUGCCCUGUGCUGGAAGAUUAAAUGAUGGGGUGCAAGCUCUUGAUUGAAGUCCCAGUAAACGGCGGCCGUAACUAUAACGGUCCUAAGGUAGCGAAAUUCCUUGUCGGGUAAGUUCCGACCUGCACGAAUGGCGUAACGAUGGCCACACUGUCUCCUCCUGAGACUCAGCGAAGUUGAAAUGUUUGUGAUGAUGCAAUCUCCCCGCGGAAAGACGGAAAGACCCCAUGAACCUUUACUGUAGCUUUGUAUUGGAUUUUGAACAGACCUGUGUAGGAUAGGUGGGAGGCUUUGAAGCCGGAACGCUAGUUUCGGUGGAGCCAACGUUGAAAUACCACCCUGGUGUGUUUGAGGUUCUAACCUAGGUCCAUUAUCUGGAUCGGGGACAGUGCAUGGUAGGCAGUUUGACUGGGGCGGUCUCCUCCCAAAGCGUAACGGAGGAGUUCGAAGGUACGCUAGUUACGGUCGGACAUCGUGAUGAUAGUGCAAUGGCAUAAGCGUGCUUAACUGCGAGACUGACAAGUCGAGCGGAUACGAAAGUAGGACAUAGUGAUCCGGUGGUUCUGUAUGGAAGGGCCAUCGCUCAACGGAUAAAAGGUACUCUGGGGAUAACAGGCUGAUACCGCCCAAGAGUUCGUAUCGACGGCGGUGUUUGGCACCUCGAUGUCGGCUCAUCUCAUCCUGGGGCUGUAGCCGGUCCCAAGGGUAUGGCUGUUCGCCAUUUAAAGAGGUACGUGAGCUGGGUUUAAAACGUCGUGAGACAGUUUGGUCCCUAUCUUCCGUGGGCGCUG